rnacentral:rRNA from 1 species
UCUAUGGCCCAUACCACCCUGAACACGCCCUGAUCUCAUAUAAUCUUGGAAGCUAAGCAGGGUUGGGCCUGGUUAGUACUUGGAUAGGAGAUGGAAUUUCUAUCCGAACAAAGAA